GAUGAACGCUGGCGGCGUGCCUAAUACAUGCAAGUCGAGCGAACAGAUAAGGAGCUUGCUCCUUUGACGUUAGCGGCGGACGGGUGAGUUACACGUGGAUAACCUACCUAUAAGACUGGGAUAACUUCGGGAAACCGGAGCUAAUGCCGGAUAACAUAUUGAACCGCAUGGUUCAAUAGUGAAAGGCGGCUUUGCUGUCACUUAUAGAUGGAUCCGCGCCGUAUUAGCUAGUUGGUAAGGUAACGGCUUACCAAGGCAACGAUACGUAGCCGACCUGAGAGGGUGAUCGGCCACACUGGAACUGAGACACGGUCCAGACUCCUACGGGAGGCAGCAGUAGGGAAUCUUCCGCAGUGGGCGAAAGCCUGACGGAGCAACGCCGCGUGAGUGAUGAAGGUCUUCGGAUCGUAAAACUCUGUUAUCAGGGAAGAACAAAUGUGUAAGUAACUGUGCACAUCUUGACGGUACCUGAUCAGAAAGCCACGGCUAACUACGUG
rnacentral:rRNA from 1 species